rnacentral:rRNA from 1 species
AGUGAACGCUGGCGGUAGGCCUAACACAUGCAAGUCGAACGGCAGCACAGUAAGAGCUUGCUCUUACGGGUGGCGAGUGGCGGACGGGUGAGGAAUACAUCGGAAUCUACUUUUUCGUGGGGGAUAACGUAGGGAAACUUACGCUAAUACCGCAUACGACCUACGGGUGAAAGCAGGGGAUCUUCGGACCUUGCGCGAUUGAAUGAGCCGAUGUCGGAUUAGCUAGUUGGCGGGGUAAAGGCCCACCAAGGCGACGAUCCGUAGCGGGUCUGAGAGGAUGAUCAGCCACACUGGAACUGAGACACGGUCCAGACUCCUACGGGAGGCAGCAGUGGGGAAUAUUGGACAAUGGGCGCAAGCCUGAUCCAGCUAUACCGCGUGGGUGAAGAAGGCCUUCGGGUUGUAAAGCCCUUUUGUUGGGAAAGAAAAGCAGCAGGUUAAUCCCCCGCUGUUCUGACGGUACCCAAAGAAUAAGCACCGGCUAACUUCGUG